rnacentral:tRNA from 1 species
AGCACGGUGGUGCAGUGGGUAGCACAAUUGCCUCAAAGCAAGAGGGUCGCUGGUUCCAGCCCUGGCUG